rnacentral:rRNA from 1 species
AUACGGAGGAUGCGAGCGUUAUCCGGAUUUAUUGGGUUUAAAGGGUGCGUAGGCGGACGAUUAAGUCAGCUGUGAAAUGCCCGCGCUUAACGCGGGAAGUGCAGUUGAUACUGGUUGUCUGGAGUGCCGUUGCCGUGGGGGGAAUGUGUAGUGUAGCGGUGAAAUGCAUAGAUAUUACACAGAACGCCGAUUGUGAAGACACCUCACGAAGCGGUAACUGACGCUGAGGCACGAAAGCGUGGGGAUCGAACAGGAUUAGAUACCCUGGUAGUCCACGCAGUAAACGAUGAUGACUAACCGUCGGCUAUAGACCGCCGGUGGCCAAGCGAAAGCGAUAAGUCAUCCACCUGGGGAGUACGACCGCAAGGUUGAAACUCAAAUGAAUUGACGGGG